GGAUUAGAUACCCUGGUAGUCCACGCCGUAAACGAUGAAAACUAGCUGUUCGGUCGCGUUGUCGACUUAGUAGCGAAGCUAACGCGUUAAGUUUUCCGCCUGGGGAGUACGGCCGCAAGGCUAAAACUCAAAGGAAUUGACGGGGGCCCGCACAAGCGGUGGAGCAUGUGGUUUAAUUCGAUGCAACGCGAAGAACCUUACCUACCCUUGACAUCCUGCGAAGGCGCUAGAGAUAGCGCUGUGCCUUCGGGAAUGCAGUGACAGGUGCUGCAUGGCUGUCGUCAGCUCGUGCUG
rnacentral:rRNA from 1 species